rnacentral:rRNA from 1 species
GCUUGUCUCAAAGAUUAAGCCAUGCAUGUCUAAGUAUAGUACCUUAUACUGCGAAACUGCGAAUGGCUCAUUAAAUCAGUUAUAAUUCAUUUGAUGGUACUUACUACUCGGAUAACCGUAGUAAUUCUAGAGCUAAUACAUGCAGGAAGACCCGACUCACGAAGGGUUGUAUUUAUUAGAUAAGAAACCUUCCCCUUUGGGUUGCGUGCCGAGUCACAAUAACUGCUCGAAUCGCAUGGCUUCACGCCGGCGAUGGUUCAUUCAAAUUUCUGCCCUAUCAGCUUUCGAUGGUAGGAUCGAGGCCUACCAUGGCGUUUACGGGUAACGGAGAAUUAGGGUUCGAUUCCGGAGAGGGAGCCUGAGAGAUGGCUACCACAUCCAAGGAAGGCAGCAGG